rnacentral:sRNA from 1 species
ACACCGAAAUCGACUGGAGCACGUAUAUGCAACAAGUCGAGUGCUACGUGAACAAGGGGAUCCUCAACUACACGCAAAUCGGCGGUGACACGGGUCCCUGCGUCUACCCGGCCGGCCAUCUCUUCGUCUUCCGCUUGCUCCACUUUUUCACGAGCUCCGGCCGCAAUAUCCGCGCGGCUCAGCACAUUUUCCAAGGAUUCUACAUGUUUAAUCUAUUUAUGGUCUUUCGAAUCCUUCACAAGACUAUGCGGAUCCCGCCGAUCGUGCUGCUUCUCGUGUCGAUCACCGGCUAUCGGAUACACUCGAUUUUCGUGUUGCGGCUCUUCAACGAUCCUCUAGCUAUGAUGCUCUUCUACGUGGCAAUGGAUCGGUUUUUGGAGCAAAAAUGGCUUGUCGGAUGUGUUUUUUAUAGGUACCAGGUGCUUGCUCAUGGAUCCGAAAAAAUCGAUAUAUUUCCAGCCUGGCAGUAUCGAUUAAAAUGAACGUGUUGCUUUUCGCGCCGGCGCUGUUCUUCACACUUUUGCUCAACAAUAGUUAUAUGGCGACGUUGGGAUAUUUGACAGUUUGCGGG